GAUGAACGCUGGCGGCGUGCCUAAUACAUGCAAGUCGAGCGAACAGACGAGGAGCUUGCUCCUCUGACGUUAGCGGCGGACGGGUGAGUAACACGUGGAUAACCUACCUAUAAGACUGGGAUAACUUCGGGAAACCGGAGCUAAUACCGGAUAAUAUAUUGAACCGCAUGGUUCAAUAGUGAAAGACGGUUUUGCUGUCACUUAUAGAUGGAUCCGCGCCGCAUUAGCUAGUUGGUAAGGUAACGGCUUACCAAGGCAACGAUGCGUAGCCGACCUGAGAGGGUGAUCGGCCACACUGGAACUGAGCCACGGUCCAGACUCCUACGGGAGGCAGCAGUAGGGAAUCUUCCGCAAUGGGCGAAAGCCUGACGGAGCAACGCCGCGUGAGUGAUGAAGGUCUUCGGAUCGUAAAACUCUGUUAUUAGGGAAGAACAAAUGUGUAAGUAACUAUGCACGUCUUGACUGUACCUAAUCAGAAAGCCACGGCUAACUACGUG
rnacentral:rRNA from 1 species